rnacentral:rRNA from 1 species
AUUGAACGCUGGCGGCGUGCUUAACACAUGCAAGUCGAUCGGUAACGCGGGGGCAACCCUGGCGACGAGAGGCGGACGGGUGAGGAACGCUUGGGAAUCUGCCUAUCAGCGGGGGACAACACGGGGAAACUCGUGCUAAUACCGCAUACGCUCUACGGAGGAAAGCCGGGGACCGCAAGGCCUGGCACUGAUAGAUGAGCCCAAGCCGGAUUAGCUAGUUGGCGGGGUAACGGCCCACCAAGGCGACGAUCCGUAGCUGGUCUGAGAGGACGAUCAGCCACACUGGAACUGAGACACGGUCCAGACUCCUACGGGAGGCAGCAGUGGGGAAUAUUGGACAAUGGGGGAAACCCUGAUCCAGCGACGCCGCGUGGGUGAAGAAGGCCUGCGGGUUGUAAAGCCCUUUCGGUAGGGACGAAAGCUCUCGGCCUAACACGUCGGGAGGUUGACUUAACCUACAAAAGAAGCACCGGCUAACUCUGUGCCAGCCGCCGCAGUAAGAC